GACGAGCCUAACAAACUUUAUUCGGAAUUACUGGGCUUAAAGGGUGCGUAGGCGGCGCGGAAAGUUGGGUGUGAAAUCCCUCGGCUCAACCGAGGAAUUGCGCUCAAAACUACCGUGCUCGAGGGAGAUAGAGGAAUGCGGAACUUACGGUGGAGCGGUGAAAUGCGUUGAUAUCGUAGGGAACACCGGUGGCGAAAGCGGCAUUCUGGAUCUCAUCUGACGCUGAUGCAAGAAAGCUAGGGUAGCAAACGGG
rnacentral:rRNA from 1 species